GACGAACGCUGGCGGCGUGCUUAACACAUGCAAGUCGAACGGAAGGCCCUGCUUGCAGGGUACUCGAGUGGCGAACGGGUGAGUAACACGUGGGGGAUCUGCCCUGCACUUCGGGAUAAGCCUGGGAAACUGGGUCUAAUACCGGAUAGGAGCCAUUUUUAGUGUGAUGGUUGGAAAGUUUUUUCGGUGUAGGAUGAGCUCGCGGCCUAUCAGCUUGUUGGUGGGGUAAUGGCCUACCAAGGCGGCGACGGGUAGCCGGCCUGAGAGGGUGGACGGCCACAUUGGGACUGAGAUACGGCCCAGACUCCUACGGGAGGCAGCAGUGGGGAAGAUUGCACAAUGGGCGCAAGCCUGAUGCAGCGACGCCGCGUGGGGGAUGACGGCCUUCGGGUUGUAAACUCCUUUCGCUAGGGACGAAGCUUUUUGUGACGGUACCUAGAUAAGAAGCACCGGCUAACUACGUG
rnacentral:rRNA from 1 species